ACAUGUGCUGUUCUAUCCUAAAAAAGAUACUUGAUUAAACGAAGUUGAUAUAAGGACCAGAUUUCAACAGUAGGGACAAGCUUGUUAGCAGAAAGGCUAUAGAAGCUCUCAUAAAGCAGCUCCAUACGACGUACAUUUACCGCUAUGCUAAAGCUUUCUGUUCGUGUCGUGAUACCUACUGGGUUGAGUCGUUCAACCAUCAACUCCUCACCUACCUGCCCAAGCGCAUUCACUUUUCGACUGAGACGUUCAUAAUGCGAAUGAAACAUGGAGUAUUACUAUGUGUACACUAUGAGCUUCUCGUACACUAAUUUGUAGUAGUAUUUAGAGCUUACUUUACAUUUCAGUCUAUACUAUCGAUAAUUGCUUUAUUCUAGAAUGAGAACGUCAAUCGCUCUUACACCAGUGACCUUCGACGACCAGAUCGCCGCACAGCAAUGAAAUCCUUAGUGAAGAAAGGUUGUUGCUUUGCUAUGGGCAAUGUAUGUUGAACAAAACAAAGCUGAUAUGAGAGAAUUGAUCGAAAAAGAUGACGUAGUAGAGGAGCAGAAUGAUGACGUGACCUUAGAAGACGGAGUGAUGCCAUCAGAAUAUUUGAGGAUGACAUGGACGACUAACAAUUAAUGAUGACAUGGCCGACUAACAAUUAAUGAGUUUUAUUUACUACGUAAUUGGUGUGUACAGGAUAAUUCUAAGGCAGUCACUGUGGACUCGGUUUCCAUACCAGCCUCUUCUGGCAAAUACUCGGCCUCAAAUGUUGAUCUGUAAUAGUAAUAAGGAAUUAGUAUUUGCUUU